rnacentral:rRNA from 1 species
UUAAAUUGAAGAGUUUGAUCAUGGCUCAGAUUGAACGCUGGCGGCAGGCCUAACACAUGCAAGUCGAACGGUAACAGGAAGCAGCUUGCUGCUUUGCUGACGAGUGGCGGACGGGUGAGUAAUGUCUGGGAAACUGCCUGAUGGAGGGGGAUAACUACUGGAAACGGUGGCUAAUACCGCAUAACGUCGCAAGACCAAAGAGGGGGACCUUCGGGCCUCUUGCCAUCAGAUGUGCCCAGAUGGGAUUAGCUUGUUGGUGAGGUAACGGCUCACCAAGGCGACGAUCCCUAGCUGGUCUGAGAGGAUGACCAGCCACACUGGAACUGAGACACGGUCCAGACUCCUACGGGAGGCAGCAGUGGGGAAUAUUGCACAAUGGGCGCAAGCCUGAUGCAGCCAUGCCGCGUGUAUGAAGAAGGCCUUCGGGUUGUAAAGUACUUUCAGCGGGGAGGAAGGUGUUGUGGUUAAUAACCGCAGCAAUUGACGUUACCCGCAGAAGAAGCACCGGCUAACUCCGUGCCAGCAGCCGCGGUAAUACGGAGGGUGCAAGCGUUAAUCGGAAUUACUGGGCGUAAAGCGCACGCAGGCGGUCUGUCAAGUCGGAUGUGAAAUCCCCGGGCUCAACCUGGGAACUGCAUUCGAAACUGGCAGGCUUGAGUCUUGUAGAGGGGGGUAGAAUUCCAGGUGUAGCGGUGAAAUGCGUAGAGAUCUGGAGGAAUACCGGUGGCGAAGGCGGCCCCCUGGACAAAGACUGACGCUCAGGUGCGAAAGCGUGGGGAGCAAACAGGAUUAGAUACCCUGGUAGUCCACGCCGUAAACGAUGUCUACUUGGAGGUUGUGCCCUUGAGGCGUGGCUUCCGGAGCUAACGCGUUAAGUAGACCGCCUGGGGAGUACGGCCGCAAGGUUAAAACUCAAAUGAAUUGACGGGGGCCCGCACAAGCGGUGGAGCAUGUGGUUUAAUUCGAUGCAACGCGAAGAACCUUACCUGGUCUUGACAUCCACAGAACUUUCCAGAGAUGGAUUGGUGCCUUCGGGAACUGUGAGACAGGUGCUGCAUGGCUGUCGUCAGCUCGUGUUGUGAAAUGUUGGGUUAAGUCCCGCAACGAGCGCAACCCUUAUCCUUUGUUGCCAGCGGUUAGGCCGGGAACUCAAAGGAGACUGCCAGUGAUAAACUGGAGGAAGGUGGGGAUGACGUCAAGUCAUCAUGGCCCUUACGACCAGGGCUACACACGUGCUACAAUGGCGCAUACAAAGAGAAGCGACCUCGCGAGAGCAAGCGGACCUCAUAAAGUGCGUCGUAGUCCGGAUUGGAGUCUGCAACUCGACUCCAUGAAGUCGGAAUCGCUAGUAAUCGUGGAUCAGAAUGCCACGGUGAAUACGUUCCCGGGCCUUGUACACACCGCCCGUCACACCAUGGGAGUGGGUUGCAAAAGAAGUAGGUAGCUUAACCUUCGGGAGGGCGCUUACCACUUUGUGAUUCAUGACUGGGGUGAAGUCGUAACAAGGUAACCGUAGGGGAACCUGCGGUUGGAUCACCUCCUUACCUGAAAGAA